UUCAAUAAAAACAUUAAAAAAAUGACAAAGGUGAAGAAAUUAGUUUGUUGGUUGUUUCAAAGCACACACUUGUGAACCAUUAACGGGAACAAAAGACCAAUCAUUAAAGCAUCAUUAGUAGUGACUGCACCAAAUUAAUAUUAACUUUUUAACUUGAAAGGACAACACUUACUCCUAUUAUUAUCUAUGGUAAUUGGUAAUGUUAUGCUGCCAUAAACAACCUCUCUCUUUCACACACACUCUCAUUCUACAAUCUACACUAAUGGACAUUUUAGUACUAACACGCACACAAAGCCAACUAGCAAUGUUGAUUUAUUUGCAUAAAGAUAAAAUAAGAAGGCGAAAGGAGUGAGCAAAGGGACAAGCAGUU
rnacentral:lncRNA from 1 species